GAUAUCUGAAAAUGCAUAUAUGACAAAGAAUUUGAGCCUGACAUUUAUUUCCAUCAUUGUGAUUAUUUGUAUUAUGUUAUUUAUAGUAUUUAUAUUCAUAAUUGUAUUACUAUUUAUUCAUUAUUCCAUUAUUGUAUUUAUAACUAACAUCAUUGUAUUUAUUCAAUAUCAACCAUCAUCACCAUUAGUAAUUGCUAUAGCACCACUAUCAUUACUGGCCAUUCCGUUUUCUAAGAGAAGAGAAUGGAACUCGGAAGAGAGCACAAGAAAAGAAAACAUAAAUAUUUACCUCCAGAUCAUGUCGAAACGGUCCCUUGACAUUUGUUUGGUAGAGCCACUUAGUUUGCCUCCAGUAAUCAGUAGUUUGCUUUAAAAUUCCAAAGCAAAGACACAGCCCGAGGAAUGUUUUCAUUUCUGUUUUCGGGACCGGGGUCCACUUGAGGUCGUGGGGGUCUGAGCUCGUACCUGUUGCGCGUACCGAUUCGUUUCGGUCAAUAACGUUGGAUCAACCGGCACAAAAUCAUUCUCGUCCUCAUUCUCAUACUCAAAUCCCUUGAAUUCUAUGACAAUAUCACUGCCAUCGCUAUCAAAAUCCUCCAUGUUCAUUGCUACUUCUCGGUCGCCAGCUAGACGCGUCGCUAAACACAAACAGAGAAUAUCGCGUGGCUAUAUGAUUGAUUGACGUGAUUUUCAGCCAACCAAAGUUCGUUUUGGUGGUCUCCUGAUCUUUACCAAAGCCUUAAGACCCACCCCAUGUGUAUUUUUAACCAACCAGAGUGAGUUAUAUGCUGCAUUCGUCAUGAAAACAGCACGUGUACAAAAUGCUGCGCUACGCAGCAACCGGCAGGAAAGGCUAUGUUGCGCUACGCAGCAACCGGCAGGAGGGGCCAUGCUGCGCUACGCAGCAUCCGGCGCCAAUGGGUUAAAGGAUAACUACAAAUAACCAAUGUUAGGGAAAUCCGUUUGUUUUGUUGCGCGUUUCUGGAUUUUUUUGUUAAAUAUAUAUCGGCCGAUAUAUCGGCAUAUCGGAUUUUUAAAUCACAAAAUAUUCGUAUCGGUAUCGGCCUUAAAAAUCCUAUAUCGGUCGGGCUCUAGUCCAAACCAUAUCAUUCUGUGACUAAAACUCGCAAAUAACAACUUAAGAAGAAACGUCCCCUUUUCUUUUAACAACCAAAAAUGAAGUAUUACCUUUGUGAUUUUUGUCCACAAAGUUGAUUCUGGUCGAAUAAAACCACCAUAAACAGAUAACCCAGUGUCUGGGCCAAAUUUUUCAACUAAACAUGGUAUUUUCAAUCAAUGAAUAAGAGAAGGUUUCUUAGGAAAUAGGUAAAUUGCCUUCAAUCAGAAAACGUAUUCUUCAGCGCAAUCUAGUGGCCAUAUGUUUAUUUGCGAGUGUUUGGCUUGGUGCAUUCGAAUAUAUUUGCCCUGAAAUUUAAAUAGAGGUGUCAAGUGUCAAAAUUGUAAGAUAUCUACCUUUAUUUGUGUCUCAGAGUAAGCCAUCGCUCCCAAAUGAUAACGACCAACUGAUAAUUAUUUCAGGUGGAAAUGUUAUCUUCCACUUAUGCUGUGUUCCAUGGCUUUAUUCACUUUAACCAAGUAUCAUCCCCAUUGAAUAUUUCACUUGCACAACAAUCUUUCUUUUGGCACAAAGAUGACAUUAUCGCCCUUGCAGUUGUGGAGAUAUACUCUAUUUACUUUGGGUAUGUUCUUUCCUGAAAAAAACUUUUCCCCUGAUAUCGAAAAUGGUAUAGAAUAUCGAUAUAUUUCCAGGUAUCGUGUCAAAGUUAGAAAAUCCAGUAUCGUGACUGACAACACUACUAGAAACGCGAUUGUGAUUAUUCAGUUAGAGCUACAAGAAACGUGAAAGUUAAAAAAGACAUAUCUUUGCUACUACCUCUGACAUUUAGUUAAGUACAUUUGCAUGAAAUCAUGCAGGUCUACAUAUAACUUGGCGAUAGCUUUAAUAGGUUGCAACGGUGGACUGAAAUCACUUCAUGGCACGAUGUGAACGCUCGAUAAAUAAGUAAACAAAGGGAAGUUUGUUAUUUUUUAAACACAACAUGUGUGGAAGCUAACAUUCAGCUUCAGUCUGAGCUAGGAUGAUUUUUCUGAGCCCCCCCAAAACCAGGCCG